rnacentral:lncRNA from 1 species
AUCUAAAGCGCUUGUAGCUUCGUCCAGAAGCAGUAUCUUCGGACUUUUGACAAUGGCACGAGCAAUGGCAACACGCUGCUUCUGCCCACCAGAUAACUGUAUGCCUCUCUCCCCUACUAAGGUAUCAUAUCCCUACAAGUUUCCAUCAAACAAUGUUUGCAUCAGAUUACAUCUUAAAUUCCUGCAUAUAUUUUUUUGCAGUGUGUGUUUCUCUAACCUGUUGCAAUCCACUUAUGAACUGAUGAGCAUUGGCUUUUUCUGCUGCAGCUAUAACUUCAGCUUCAGUUGCAUCGCCACCCUUCCCAUAAGCAAUGUUGCUUCUAAUCGUAUCAUUGAACAAGGCUGGUUCUUGGCUUACAAGUCCCAUCUGUUGCCUCAACCACUUCACUUGCAAGGUUCGUAUUUCGAUCCCAUCAAGUGUAAUAUUACCUGCGUUUGGAUCAUAAAAUCUUUCCAGAAGUGCAAUCACAGUUGAUUUUCCACUUCCACUUUCUCCAACUAAAGCAACUGUCUGCAAAAUGAUACCAACAGAAGAAUAAUAAUGAAUAUAUGGAUUUGGACACAGCCAGAGUCUUAUAAGUAAGAAUGUCUUGCCUUGCCACUUCGAAUUGUCAAGCUAAGGUCUCGCAAAAUUUGAACAUCAGGUCGAGUUGGAUACAUAAAGCUUAUGUGCUGUAACUGUAUAUCUCCGUUUACAUUCUGUAAUGUAACACCUGAUUCUUCGUUCAGGUCUAUUUCCGGCUUUCUGUCUAGGAUUGAAAAAAUAGAUGCAGCAGCUGCUUUAGCUUUGUAUGAAUCUGAUGCCACGGAACUUGAUUGAGAAAUACUGAUAGCAGCCAUUGUCAGUGCAAAGAAAACCUGCAAGGUAAAUAAACGUCUCACAAUAGUUGAAUUAUCUGCACUUUGACAUGUUUAAAUCACGAAUGUGUGGAAAAUGUAGGCUCUUACACGAUAAACGUUUUCAAAAUCUGUUAUCCCUAGUGCAACAAAACGCGCUCCAGCGUAAAAGCUAACUGCAUAAACAAAAUAUAGUGAGGCAGAAGAUAGGCCGAACCCUGUUCCACUAAUCAUUCCUUGCCUGAUCCCAUUUUUCUUUGGACCUUCACAUUUCUUCGUGUACAAGUCGAUUACUUUCUCUUCAGCACAGAAAGAAGCAACUGUUCUUAUACUCCCAACUGCAUCAGUUGCAACUUGGCUCGCGUCCUCGUACAUCGCCUUCGCAUCUGAACUGAACCCUGAUAAGAACAUUGUCUGAACAUAUCCAUUAACUGCUACCAAGGGUAUCAAAGCAAGGAUGACAAAAGCCAGCUGCCAACAUGCUACGAAAGCAAUAAUUAAACCAGAUACUGCUGAAGCUCCGUCUUGAACCAGUUGUCCGAGUCUAUCACCAACUAAUGCACGUACAGUGGCUGCAUCUGUAGAAAGUCUAGCACCAAUUGCCCCACUCGAGUUCUCAGGCUUGUCGAACCAUCCUACUUCCAUGCUCGCCACCUUCUCAAAACACAAAGAUCUGAUCCUUUUUAUUAAAUUACAACCGGCCACAGCAAAAAAGUAUGACUGUGCUGGAUAUGCAACAAAUGAUACCGUUCCAAGGGCUACAAACAUCAGGGCCCAGAAUUUCGAGUCCUUGCUCAAUUCAUGAGGUGCCUCAAAUAAUAUUUUUAUAGUGCUCGAAAGUAGCACACCAAAUAUAGGAUAUGUAACACCAUUGACGAUAGCAGCUAGAGAUCCUGCAAACAGGGCAGGAAUCUCAGGCUUGUUAAGAUAUGCAAGCCUUCUAAGGGGAACUUCUGGACUUGUUUUCUGGUUCGGGUCUUUAGGCUCAGGUUCAGGUUUGGGUUCUGGUUCUCCUAUUACGAUUUCAGUAUGUCCGGUGGGUAAACGAAACGAUAGGGUGAGUGAACGACGGCUGCUGCUAUUUCCUACACCAGAAGACACCCUGCUAAUGGAACUGUACAUCCUUUGACUCGAAGCGCUACCACUUCCUGCACCAGCAUCAGUCUUGUCACGGCUGUUGCUCACUUCUUGCAAUUUUAUUAGCUGAGAGUAUGGGCCUUCAGAGUUUUCAAGUAAUUCGACAUGGGUGCCUGAUUGAUCAGCAAAAUAACAUUAGAAACAAUGCUAAAACUUAUUUGUCUCUACCAUUUCCACCACAUAAAUUGUGAUUUUGGAUUAUACCUUUUUCAACCAUCUUCCCUUGAUGGAUCACUGCAAUCAUAUCAGCAUUGAUCACUGUGCUCAAACGAUGUGCCACAAUGACAGUGGUUCUGUUAACCAUGAUCCUGUCCAGCGCCUCCUGCACAAUUCUCUCAGACUCUGCAUCAAGUGCACUAGUUGCUUCAUCAAGAAGUAGGAUUCGCGGGUCCUUAAGAAUCGCUCUGGCUAUGGCCACUCUCUGCUUUUGUCCACCAGAAAGCUGAGUUCCAUGCUCACCUACCAUGGUGUCCAGUCCCUAUUAUCAAAUUCAAGGGUCAGUUGACAUAUUUUCCCCGAAAAAAAAUUAGAAAAAGCUAUGAUCAGCUUCCUAACCUGAGGUAGUUUAUCAAUGAACUUAGCAGCAUUUGCUAGCUCACAUGCUGCUCUGAUCUCCUCAACAGUUGCACCAUCCUUACCGUAAGCAAUGUUGUCCUUUAUGCUAGAUGAAAACAAAACAGGUUCUUGACUAACAAGCCCAAUUUUUUCUCUAAUCCACUUGAGCUGAAAUUCCUUCAGAUUUGUUCCAUCUAUAAGAACCUCACCGCCUUGUGGAUCGUAAAAUCUCUCUAUCAGACUUAUCACUGUAGACUUCCCACUACCACUCUGUCCAACCAAAGCUGCAGUUGUCCCGCUGGGGAUGGCCAGGGAGAAUCCACUAAAUAUUUGCUCAUCAGGCCUUGCUGGAUAACUGAAGUGGACAUCUCUCAACUCUAUAUCGCCUUGAAUGUCAUCUAAUUUUUUCCCACGCUUAUCAUAUGGAUCUAUAACUGGUCUCCUAUUUAUAGUUUCAAACAUCUUGAAAGCUGCAGCUCUGCCUGCUGCAAACGCGCUCAUGCAAGGAGACGCCUGCCCAAGAGACCUGUGAACAGACAGUUUGGCCCAAGAUUUCAAUACUAGCACAACAAGUAAUCAUAGAAUGAUUAAUCAGAUCAAGGUACUUCUUACAUAGCACCAGUAAGAACAGCAACAAUGACAACGAUCACAGUACCCCCGGAAUAGCCUUUUUCAAUAACCAGCUUUGCACCAAACCAGACAGCCAUUGCAUAACUGCAGAAUGCAACAGACAUAACUGUGCCUAGUCCUAGUCCAGAAGCAAAGCCUUCCUGAACACCUGAUUUAUAAGCUUUUGUAAGAGAUUUGUUGUAGUUGACCACAGCUUGUCUCUCCCCGGUAAAAGAAGCAACCUACAAAAAUUUUAGAAGUGUUUAUAAUGGCAAGCCUACUCAAAGUUGAGUUUUCAUGUUUAAACUCAAAAUACGGAUGAGAUAAUACCGUUCUUAUUGAUCCAAUUGUUUGUUCCACAAUUGUUGCUGCUUUUGCAUACGCAUCUUGUCCGCGAGUAGACAUCUUGGAGCUAACAAGGGACAUCAUUCCACCAGCCAUCACGAUUGGUGGAAUAGAACUCAUCAGGACUACUGUAAGGAGCCAUCCGUUGAAGAAAGCCACAAAAUAGCCUCCAACGAAUCCUGUAAUCAUCUGUAUAAAUUUCCCAACCUAUAGCAAAAUGUUGAAUGUUACUUUUUCCUCUUGAUUACCAAAUGGUCUAAACAACGCGUUUAGAAACUAAUUGUUCCCUUCCUGGGAAGCUAGCUACUUACUGUAAUCUUUAGAAGUUCUUACCUUCUCACCCAUGGCAUCUUGUAUGAGAACAGUAUCGCCAGACAUCCUUCCAACGACUUCUCCAGUAUUCGUUUCCAUAUCAAAGAAGGUAAUAUCUUGUCUUAAUAUAUUCUGCAGGUAUAAUUUUCUUAUCCUGGAAGCCUGUCUCUCUCCGGUGACCAUCCAGCAAGCCACCUCUGUAAACACAAUCGAAGGUAUUUCAUAUUUGCGUUUAGAUUUGAAUGCAUACAGCUGCUACUUCAACAUAUGCAGUUCUACACUGCAAAUUAAUGUGAAAUUUACUUACGCAGAAAUGAUGCUACACCAGUUCCCAGUCCCAGAUAAACAAACUUUAGCGAAACCUGAUUUAAACAGUUUAAACAGGUAAACACUUGUCCUUGAAUAAGGAUUUCAAUUGAAACUCGAAAUUGUGCAUGUGGAAACAGUGUUACUUACCUUUGAAACCACCUGGAUUACAUGAACUCUGUCUUGAUUCUGUCCGAAAGAAUUUGCCAAUUCUCCGUAAAGGACAGUCAUCAAGGGCAUGCUCAAUCCAUUGCCAAUAGAGCCAAUGAUACCGAAUAUCAUCAGCAUAACAUCCA